rnacentral:rRNA from 1 species
GGGCGUAAAGCUCGUAGGCGGUUUGUCGCGUCUGCUGUGAAUCCCGAGGCUCAACCUCGGGCCUGCAGUGGGUACGGGCAGACUAGAGUGCGGUAGGGGAGAUUGGAAUUCCUGGUGUAGCGGUGGAAUGCGCAGAUAUCAGGAGGAACACCGAUGGCGAAGGCAGAUCUCUGGGCCGUAACUGACGCUGAGGAGCGAAAGGGUGGGGAGCAAACAGGCUUAGAUACCCUGGUAGUCCACCCCGUAAACGUUGGGAACUAGUUGUGGGGACCAUUCCACGGUUUCCGUGACGCAGCUAACGCAUUAAGUUCCCCGCCUGGGGAGUACGGCCGCAAGGCUAAAACUCAAAGGAAUUGACGGGGACCCGCACAAGCGGCGGAGCAUGCGGAUUAAUUCGAUGCAACGCGAAGAACCUUACCAAGGCUUGACAUACACCAGAACACCGUAGAAAUACGGGACUCUUUGGACACUGGUGAACAGGUGGUGCAUGGUUGUCGUCAGCUCGUGUCGUGAGAUGUUGGGUUAAGUCCCGCAACGAGCGCAACCCUCGUUCUAUGUUGCCAGCACGUAAUGGUGGGAACUCAUGGGAUACUGCCGGGGUCAACUCGGAGGAAGGUGGGGAUGACGUCAAAUCAUCAUGCCCCUUAUGUCUUGGGCUUCACGCAUGCUACAAUGGCCGGUACAAAGGGCUGCAAUACCGUGAGGUGGAGCGAAUCCCAAAAAGCCGGUCCCAGUUCGGAUUGAGGUCUGCAACUCGACCUCAUGAAGUCGGAGUCGCUAGUAAUCGCAGAUCAGCAACGCUGCGGUGAAUACGUUCCCGGGUCUUGUACACACCGCCCGUCAAGUCAUGAAAGUCGGUAACACCUGAAGCCGGUGGCCUAACCCUUGUGGAGGGAGCCGUCGAAGGUGGGAUCGGUAAUUAGGACUAAGUCGUAACAAGGUAACCGU